AAGGAAAUGGUGCCACAUAAAAUGGGACGGAGGGAGUAUAAUCUAGGCGUCCCCUCUUCCACCUCGGUAACAUCAUCCUCAGCAUUGUCUGAGUACUCAAAUAUUCAGAUACAGCCUUCAGAGCCUGAGGGCCUCGUUAACGACUAAAUGGGUCAAUUCUUCAGGAGUGGGCAAAUGUGUUUGUGAUUUUGGGGCAUCAUUACAUUUUUGGACAGCUAACUAGGUCCCAGAAACAACCCUCUCUCUCACAACCAUAAUCAUGGGCCAGAUCAUUCCACAAUCUUGUCUAGAAAUUAAAACCGACACCUUUUUCAUGAUGAGCUAUAUAUCAUCUAUAGGUCUAACUUUUAUUUAGAAAAGCCUAUCCUGUGUGGAGUUGUAGACGGCUAAACAGGUCGGAGAACCUACCUUCUUUCUCACAGGUCACAACCAUACUCGCAGGUAACAUACCUUCACAAUCUUAUUUAGGAUUGAUUCCUUUUUGUGAUGAGCUAUCUUUCAUCCACAGAUCUAACCUAUAUUUAGAAAACCUUCUAAGAUAUAAAUAGUUAACUACAUUUUAUAAAAUAUUAAACACUAGAUAUAUAAGAGUUUCUGGAAGAACUGCUCACAGUAAAGUGGUAGUUCACAAUUUUUUAUUUUAUAUCUUGGGAUAAGGCACAAGUACCUCCGAAAAACCUGAAAUCCUAGCGACACACAUAAACUUAACUAGGGUCAUAUUAACCCUAAACUAUUUUAAAAUUGAAUAAAUGUCACCCUAAAUGUUGAUGUGGCAUGAUAACCAAAUGAGUAUCCUCUGUGUGUAUUACACGCGCUUCACAAUUUUUAAAGCAUUAAAUCUCUUUUUGUUUCCAUUAAAAUCCCUUUCUCUUUCUUCAUUCUGAAUCUAUAGUUAGCCGCCAUGUCAUUUGUACCUCUUUUGUCAUUAGUUCCAGAACUAGGUCUUCUUACAGAUCUGGUUCUUUUACACCUCAACUUGAAUCGUUUUUGUGUUGAGAUCUAGUUUUUCAAAGAAAAGUAAAAAUGGUGAGAUUAUGUGUUGGAAUGCGAGGGUUUUUACUCCGAUUGACGAUUGACAACCAGAGAAGACGCCGGAGAAACAGAAAGUUCAUCCUCAUUCUCAGCUCCUAACUCAUCACCCACAACCUCAGACUCGUAUUCAUUUCCGCUAACAUUCAAAGAAUCCUUCCCAAAAACCCCAAUUCCCUAAAAACGCUUCUUCACUAAGCACCGAAGAAUUAUGAGUUACCACUUACCACAGCAGAAGCCAGAAAAGGACUGAAAGAAGACACACCAUGUCUAAGACGAACAUGAAAGUGGAAUUUUUCAUUGGAGAAAGGAAGAGAUAAAGGAGGGGUAGCAGUGGAUCUUCGAGAAAGUUUGAUCUCAGAAACACAAACUAAAUAAGGGGAAACCACAGCCGCUACCUUUUGUGUGCCCAUUGAGUAGAAACUUUGUUCCUAUGCAAUAGCUCACAAACCACACAUGAGAGGUGAAUUGUGGUGGUUGUGCGAUGAAAAUUGAAGGUAGAUGUAUUCGCAGGAGAUGGCACGUAUUUCAUGAAAUUAAUCGAGAUACAUACCAGCCCCAGCCAUCAUAUUUGUCAAAAAGAAAAAACAUGGGGUACAUAGAUAAUAACUAAAGCAUAGGCCUCCCAAGUAUAAACUUUCUCAAUAGCACAGCCACUGAUGAGUACAUCUUCUCAAUUACAUUCAUACAAUAAAGACAAAUCACUAAGGUAUCAUCAGAUUUACAGUUAUGUCUUCUCAUACAAACUAAUUUCACCUAUAACUUCAUUGAAAGAAUGAAUGUCUCUAUUCAAAUAUCA